AGAACAGGUAUUUAAGAGCCUACUAUGUGUCAGAUGUGCUACAUUAUACAAUCAUUUUCUCAUUUUAUCCUGACAACAAUCAUGUGAAGCAUCCUGCCCCUGUGGAGACUCACUUGGAAAACGAAGUUGAAUGUCACAGGCACCAGAGACCCAAACACAGAGGCCCAUGUGAGAAUGAAGACAGUGAAUGAAGAAUGAAAGAAUGAAGAAUGAGGAAAGAAAGAAGAUGAAGACAGUGAUCUUCUUUAUCAUCCUCUUUAUACUGUACUUUGGGGGCUCCCUUCUCAUCAUCAAGAGCUACUCUUCAUCUGUUAUUAGCUGCGGAAAAGACAAAGAGAUGAAGUGAAGCAGAAGGUACUUCUGUCUGGAAAACAAGGCUUGAUGCAGAGAAUGUUGGGUGGCAAUGGAAGAGGAGUCUCAGGGGAAUACGUGGACAUGAGCCCAGGAUCCCAGGUUUCAAGUCUGCAGGAGGAACCUUAGAAGCCAAGCCUUUCUCCCUUGUGCUCCAGAGGAGGAAGCUGAGCUCCUGAGCUAUCACGGGGCAGCAACAACUAUAGUA
rnacentral:lncRNA from 1 species